UGGACGUGGAUCUUCAUAUAAACACCAGCAGAUUGAAGAUACCGUUGCCAUCUCGCCUCUCAUGUGCUAACAAAGAAGUUUGGAUCUCACCAAUGAGCCAGGAAUGGUGAAGCACAUAGGAGACUUCAUGCCAGUGUCUUUGGGACCUCAGACAGACAGUCUAAGGUCUUCAGGACCUUCUACAAACAGACGGACAAGGCUGGCGACAGUGUGACCUAUACUGCUGCGAAAAGAAUGCAUCAUUGGACUGUACUUCUGAACUGGAUAGUAAUUCAUACUGUAUCUCAACAUUUGGCAGCGCUGCAGGACCUCAUCUUAUGGACCACUAUAGGAUCGUGCGAUCUAGCACAAGGACGCCAGAAGCUGCCCGCUAUCCAGAACCAGCCCGUGCCAGCCUGCACCAGCACUCUUAAGACCGCACCAACCAAGUUUACUCACCUAUCUCCACCAAGGGCUGGACAACUCCGUGCCAGUGCCGAACGCUGCCCUCACUGCUGAGACCACCAGCUACAAGGAAGCCAGCUACAGACCAUGAGUAACGAGUACAUUUUGCGGAUUGCAGCUUCAAGUCAAGAAUACAGACCAGUGGGUGGAGAUAAUUUAAUUUGACCAGGCUUAAGCUCCCAGCGUUUUUAGUGUCCUUCAAACAACUUUGCUAAAAAAACUACACCAUCCGCAGCAGGGAUUUUUCCCAAGAGCUAUCUAUUGGAUUAUAGUACCUCUCUUCAGCAUUGGACCCAAUGCAUACCACACCAAUGUGUUGUCUACUGUCAGAACUGUGUGUGGCAGCACCUUGUCAAAGCCAGUGUGUCCUCAGAAAAGAAAAUUUGAUGUUGGCCGCUAGCUACACAUGCUAUACAUUUUAUUUUCUGAAGAUUGUUCCCAGAUCUAUAACUUCAAGAUAAUGUACAAAACAAAAUAACUUCAUACCAAUAUAAAAAAAGAAAACAUUCUUCAUUUUGUAACCAAGGCAGAAAGUGGCCUGGUCCAAUAGGACAUUUCCUCUCUGCAAUAGAAGUACAAAGACAACACUCGAAAACGUAGCUGAAGACAAAAUGUGAAUUGUGUUUUUUGGCACGGCAAUAUCUGAGAACAUUCACAAUGCUUUGGAUGACUGCUAUAAAAAAGGCACUCAUCAAUGUUAUCCCGUAUGUCUGCAAUAGACUGACUACAUUAACCAGGAGUAACACGCCUAACAGGCACAAGAUACAGGAUUUAUUUUCUUUAUUGUAAUGGAUUACUAAAAUGAAAUCUGAUGUCUGCUGGAAACAAGUUGCAUUGAGAUACCAUUAUAUUGUCAAUGUACAGUGCCACACUGCAUCCAUAAGUUAAAUGUAUGAUGCCUACCAUGUUUCCCCGAAAAUACACCCUACCCCGAAAAUAAGCCCUAGCUGGAUUAUCGGGGUGGGCUGCAAUAUAAGCCCUACCCCGAAAAUAAGACCUAGGCCAGUGGUCUUCAAUCUGCGGAACUCUAGAUGUUGCAAAACUACAACUCCCAGCAUGCCUGGAUAGUCGACGGC